GAGAAGUUAGUUAAUUUGAUAAUGAAAGCUUGUCAAGCUUUAGUUGCUUAGAGAAGCACUUCUUU
rnacentral:tRNA from 1 species